rnacentral:rRNA from 1 species
UGGGGAAUAUUGGACAAUGGGCGCAAGCCUGAUCCAGCAAUGCCGCGUGUGUGAAGAAGGCCUUCGGGUUGUAAAGCACUUUUAUCAGGAGCGAAACGCUGUCGGCUAAUACCCGACGGAACUGACGGUACCUGAGGAAUAAGCACCGGCUAACUUCGUGCCAGCAGCCGCGGUAAUACGAAGGGUGCAAGCGUUAAUCGGAAUUACUGGGCGUAAAGCGUGCGUAGGCGGAUCUUUAAGUCUGCUGUGAAAGCCCCGGGCUCAACCUGGGAAUGGCAGUGGAUACUGGAGAUCUAGAGUGUGAUAGAGGAUGGUGGAAUUCCCGGUGUAGCGGUGAAAUGCGUAGAGAUCGGGAGGAACAUCAGUGGCGAAGGCGGCCAUCUGGAUCAACACUGACGCUGAGGCACGAAAGCGUGGGGAGCAAACAGG